rnacentral:rRNA from 1 species
UACGUAGGUGACCAGCGUUGUCCGGAUUUACUGGGCGUAAAGAGCGCGCAGGCGGUCGUUCAAGUCGAGUGUGAAAGCCCCCGGCUCAACUGGGGAGGGUCAUUCGAUACUGAUCGACUCGAAGGCAGGAGAGGGAAGUGGAAUUCCCGGUGUAGUGGUGAAAUGCGUAGAUAUCGGGAGGAAUACCGGUGGCGAAGGCGGCUUCCUGGACCGACACUGACGCUGAGGCGCGAAAGCUAGGGGAGCAAACGGG